rnacentral:lncRNA from 1 species
AAUGAGAAAAUAUUUUAUGAAUGCAAAAUUGGGACAUAGAGUCUGACCAAGGUUUCCUAUGGGAGUUUCAGACAUGGUAAUUAGAAACCAGGAAGACUGAGAAGGAAUCAAAUUUGCAGCAGCUCAGUAAGUGGUAGACUGGGAACAAGAAGCCAGUUCUCUGGGCUCUUGAAGCAAAGCCCUGCCACGUUGUCUUUCCCCAGGAGAGGAGGUCAUAAGACAUUCAUUCCAGAGAGAGUCCUGCCCCACCUCUGAGAAGGAAGGAAUGUACACUCAAGAGAGAUCAAGAAGAAUCUAAACAAACAGGCCCUUCUGCGUUUUCCCACAAGAGAAAAUGAUCUAAUUAACAUUCAAUCAUAACUUUUUGUCCAAUUAUAUUUCUACACUGCUGUUCAUACUUUGUUUAACCUAGGCAUAAAAUUGACAAUUUUUCUUGUAUUUUUGGCUCUUCAUUCUGAAGGCUUCCAUGUAUACAUGUUAAAUAAAUUUGUACGCCUUUUCUCCAA